AUGAACGCUAGCUACAGGCUUAACACAUGCAAGUCGAGGGGCAGCAUUUCAGUUUGCUUGCAAACUGGAGAUGGCGACCGGCGCACGGGUGAGUAACACGUAUCCAACCUGCCGAUAACUCGGGGAUAGCCUUUCGAAAGAAAGAUUAAUACCCGAUGGUAUAAUUAGACCGCAUGGUCUUGUUAUUAAAGAAUUUCGGUUAUCGAUGGGGAUGCGUUCCAUUAGGCAGUUGGUGAGGUAACGGCUCACCAAACCUUCGAUGGAUAGGGGUUCUGAGAGGAAGGUCCCCCACAUUGGAACUGAGACACGGUCCAAACUCCUACGGGAGGCAGCAGUGAGGAAUAUUGGUCAAUGGGCGCAGGCCUGAACCAGCCAAGUAGCGUGAAGGAUGACUGCCCUAUGGGUUGUAAACUUCUUUUAUAUGGGAAUAAAGUUUUCCACGUGUGGAAUUUUGUAUGUACCAUAUGAAUAAGGAUCGGCUAACUCCGUGCCAGCAGCCGCGGUAAUACGGAGGAUCCGAGCGUUAUCCGGAUUUAUUGGGUUUAAAGGGAGCGUAGGUGGACAGUUAAGUCAGUUGUGAAAGUUUGCGGCUCAACCGUAAAAUUGCAGUUGAUACUGGCUGUCUUGAGUACAGUAGAGGUGGGCGGAAUUCGUGGUGUAGCGGUGAAAUGCUUAGAUAUCACGAAGAACUCCGAUUGCGAAGGCAGCUCACUGGACUGCAACUGACACUGAUGCUCGAAAGUGUGGGUAUCAAACAGGAUUAGAUACCCUGGUAGUCCACACAGUAAACGAUGAAUACUCGCUGUUUGCGAUAUACAGUAAGCGGCCAAGCGAAAGCAUUAAGUAUUCCACCUGGGGAGUACGCCGGCAACGGUGAAACUCAAAGGAAUUGACGGGGGCCCGCACAAGCGGUGGAGCAUGUGGUUUAAUUCGAAGCAACGCGAAGAACCUUACCAAGUCUUGACAUCCUUCUGACCGGUACUUAACCGUACCUUCUCUUCGGAGCAGGAGUGACAGGUGGUGCAUGGUUGUCGUCAGCUCGUGUCGUGAGAUGUUCGGUUAAGUCCGAUAACGAGCGCAACCCUUAUCUUUAGUUACUAACAGGUCAUGCUGAGGACUCUAGAGAGACUGCCGUCGUAAGAUGUGAGGAAGGUGGGGAUGACGUCAAAUCAGCACGGCCCUUACGUCCGGGGCUACACACGUGUUACAAUGGGGGGUACAGAAGGCAGCUACCUGGUGACAGGAUGCUAAUCCCAAAAGCCUCUCUCAGUUCGGAUCGAAGUCUGCAACCCGACUUCGUGAAGCUGGAUUCGCUAGUAAUCGCGCAUCAGCCAUGGCGCGGUGAAUACGUUCCCGGGCCUUGUACACACCGCCCGUCAAGCCAUGAAAGCCGGGGGUACCUGAAGUACGUAACCGCAAGGAGCGUCCUAGGGUAAAACUGGUAAUUGGGGCU
rnacentral:rRNA from 1 species